UAUACUGCAGUCGAGCGAACUGAUUAGAAGCUUGCUUCUAUGACGUUAGCGGCGGACGGGUGAGUAACACGUGGGCAACCUGCCUGUAAGACUGGGAUAACUCCGGGAAACCGGAGCUAAUACCGGAUAACAUUUUUUCUUGCAUAAAAGAAAAUU
rnacentral:rRNA from 1 species